rnacentral:rRNA from 1 species
CAGCAGCCGCGGUAAUACAGAGGGUGCAAGCGUUAAUUGGAAUUACUGGGCGUAAAGCGCGCGUAGGUGGUUCGCCAAGUUGGAUGUGAAAUCCCCGGGCUCAACCUGGGAACUGCAUCCAAAACUGGCGAGCUAGAGUAUGGUAGAAGGUGGUGGAAUUUCCUGUGUAGCGGUGAAAUGCGUAGAUAUAGGAAGGAACAUCAGUGGCGAAGGCGACCACCUGGACUGAUACUGACACUGAGGUGCGAAAGCGUGGGGAGCAAACAGGAUUAGAUACCCCGGUAGUCCCUGUCUCUUAUAA